rnacentral:rRNA from 1 species
UACAGAGGGGGCAAGCGUUGUUCGGAAUUACUGGGCGUAAAGGGCUCGUAGGCGGCCAACUAAGUCAGACGUGAAAUCCCUCGGCUUAACCGGGGAACUGCAUCUGAUACUGGAUGGCUUGAGUUCGGGAGAGGGAUGCGGAAUUCCGGGUGUAGCGGUGGAAUGCGUAGAGAUCCGGAAGAACACCGGUGGCGAAGGCGGCCUGCUGGGCAGUUGCUGACACUGAGGCGCGACAGCGUGGGGAGCAAACAGG